CCUACACCAAGUUAUCUCUGCAUUUAAAGGCUUUGCUCAGCCACCCCUCCCUGAGACAUUUCUGGCUUAGGUACUGAGCAUCUUACUACUAUAAUGCUUUCCUCCCCUAAUAGUGGAUUUCCAUAUUAGUCCAGAUUGCAUGCUUUUCUUUGACAGUAACAAUGCCAUGACUUGGAGGGAAUGCUCACAGCCCCUCAGGCAACUGCUGUUUUCACUCCAUCUGAUUGGAAUCUUUGCGCCUGUUCCUGCUGGGGGACAUCAGAAUCCACAAAAUCCACAAUGAUCCUUCCUGAGACCAUGGCUUGCCUUGUCUGGGCCCAGCUUCUGAAGAAUCACUAUGAUUUUGCUAUAGAUUGUAAAGACCCAUCAUCGCAGCAGGCUGUGCAUGAGCUAUAUUUUCCUCUGGACAGAGUUCCAGCUGAGACCCUAUAAAGGAAGAAGAAAAAAUACAUAUGUUUCCUUCCCUACAAGUGUGAGGACAUAAUCCUACAUGGGUCCAGGAAGAAAGUAUUGGAUGUUCACUGCCAUUCCGAGGGGAAGCAGAGGGUGACAAGCUGAGAGAAAGGAAAUAAACGACCUUCCUGCUUAGGGAGGUUCAAACUAGAACCAUAAACAAAGUCCAGCCUCAGGAGUUCCACAGUCACCACCAGGCCAGUGGUAUUCCAGAGAACCCUCCCCAAUAGACUUCCUACAAUACAAUCUCCAAUUCAGAACCUGUUUCCUGGAGUCUUUAAAGAUCUGUAGUGGAUAGUUCUUCAAAGGUCAAAGUGUCACACAGACAAGUAACUGCAUGAAAUGAAGUUGGAAUUCUGGUGGCACUGCCCUGGACCACCUCCUCACAGAGCAUCCAAAUUCUGCCCAUUAGUUGAGAUGUAGCAUGUAGUCUGCCUCAUCUGUGAAGUUGUCCCUGAUCAUUUCACCACCACAAACCUCCUCUACCCAGGGAGAAACUUGAGCACACAGGGCAUCUGAUUUUAAAAUGAUUAAAAUGAACCCUUGUACAUGAUUGCUUUUUAACUGUGCCAUGGAGUCUUUUCAUUUCUGCCCAUAUUGUAUAAACUGGAUUCAGAAAUGUGACAUGAAAAGAGUGUGGUAAAGUAGAAAUAAUAUCCAAUUUGGGGUAAAAAAAGGCUUUGGUGUGAGUCCCAGAUCUACACUCAGUAACAAUAUUAAUUAGAAAUUGAUUUUUAAAAAUAAAUACAGAAAAAAAAGGCUUGGAAUAACCCAGAGACUAAUUUUCCUCACAUAACCGAGCGCAGGAAGUCAAGACUUGUGUAACUGUUCACAGAUGUGAAGACCACAGGCUUUUUCUGUCUCACUUCUCUUCCCUCCUGAGUGUAUGUGGCUUUCAUCCUCAUGCCUAUAAAAGCCUCCCAGUUAUAUGAUACCUGUUCAACUUCCAGACAUUACCUUCAGGUCCUAAAAAGAAAAGAAGGGAAAAGAUAAUGGUAAUUAAAAACAAUAGGGUGUUCCAGCUAAGGAGGUCCGAUUUUAAUCAGAAAAACCAAAAGGUUUUCCCAGAAUCCACACCAGCAGACUGCUGAUUGCAUGCCAUUGACCAGGACUGUGUUUAAUGACUCCAUUAGCUGGAAGAGAGCUGAGGAGAAGAGGCUCAGGAAAGUUAAUUAACCUCUCUUAAACCUCAAUUUCUAAAUCUUAAAAGACAGAAGAAACAAUGCCUUCAUUGUAGGGGUUUUCUGAGAAUUUGUGAAUAGCUCAAAGUGAGUAAAACUUAGCAGGUACUCUUUCAGUAGUUUUUAAAAACCAAAUAAAAAUAUAGUGUUAUUAUCAACCACCUUCUAUUAUCUAGUCAAAAAAAGCACCAUUUACAGAGUUUUCUUUCAGCUAAUCACUGAUCAAAGCCCCAUAAAUAAAAGAAUAACUAAAAUUUAAUCUUUAUAAUCAAGGAAGUAGUAAUAUAGAAGAAAAAACAUAUGUGGAGAUAUAAAAGUUCAGUGAAAUUUUACAAGUUGCUAGGAAGACCAUAUGCACACAGAAAAUGGGAGCACAGAAGAGAAAAAGGAUAAGGAUAUCUGUUGACCCUAGAGAGGGUUUCAUAGGGGAAAUGAACUACUGGGACACAAGGAAAGUGUAGCAAUUUCCAGGUGAUGAAGAGAGAAGAGCAUUCAAGAGGAGGAAUCAACAUAGGCAAAGCUGCAUAGAUACAAAGCAGCAGGGCAGAGCAUGGCAAAGCACAACUGUAACGAGUGGCAGACAUUAGGAGGAUGCUCUUUCCAUUCAUGAAAGUUACCGUGGUAGGAUUCACAUAGAGUGAGGCAGCUUUUGACACAGUGCCCAAUGAUUCCCAGCUCCUAGAGUUCAUAUCCUGUGUGACCUCCCCUUUAUGGCCCAAACCUAGUGACUUGCUUCCAAUAAAGAAAUACAGUAAAAGAAAAUGGAAUGUCACUUCCAUGAUUAGGUUACAAGUAACUCUGAUUUUCAUCUUGCAGGUAUUCUUUGUCUCCAUGUAUCUUCUCCACUGCUGAGGACAUCUCAUGGCAAAGAACUGAGAGUAGCCAACAGCUGAAAUGCAAGAAAUGGAGGACAACCCGCAGCUCAAGAGCUCUUUCAGAACAGAAUCUUGUCAACAAUCACUGAGUGAGCUUGAUAGAUUCUGUCUCUGUGGAAGCCUGAGACAACCACCUGAUACACUGAGUAAAGCCUGUGAGAGGCCCCAGAGCAAACAACCCAGCUAAGUCAUGUCUGAAUUACUGGCUCAUAGGAACUGUGCAAUGAUAAACAGUUGUUGCUCACAGCCACUAGGUUUUCUAGCCAUGUACUCCACAGUGAUAGAUAUCUAGUACACUUACCUAGAUUGCGUCAAGCAACCUUAUGGUAACUCAUUAUUGGAAUAUCCCUUAUCUAAGAAAUCAAUUAAUCAAACAAAUCCUGCUACCUUCAAAGACAAUGCCUAUUCUGACUGGUCCUCUGUAUCCCCAGCUCCCCCAAGAACUGAUUAUAGCUAUACACUCCCAGAAAUAUCCUCUCCAAUCCAUCUCACCAUACUAAGCCUUGCCUCCUACAAAGCCCAUCUUAAGCCUUCCCUUCCAAGGAAUUUUCUCUGAUCUUUCUAGAUAUCAUUAGAUUCUUCUGAAUCACAGCAUCUUUGAUUUGCAGCUAUCACUUUAUUCCUUGAUUGACUUCAGGUAGCUUUCUGUUGUAGUUAUUUUAUCUGAUAUUUAUAUUCUAAUAUGUACAAUCUGGUCAAUCCAAGGAUUUUGCAGGUUUUUAAAAAAAAUUUUGACCAAUCCUGCAUUUUUUCCAUCCCUUUGAGACAAUGACAAUAUUGAUUUUCUAGAAUUGUCCAAACAUACAAUACAGGACUUCUAGCAUGUAUUCAUUCAACUUAGAUUUUGCAAACAUUUAUGCUGCUGUUCCAAGUAUCAUGGGGAUUAAAUGAGUUUUCUUGUAAAUGCCCCCUCUUUCAGUACUGGGGUUUGAACUCAGGGCCUUACACUUGCUAGGCAGGUGCUCUUCCACUUGAGCCACUCUGCCAGUCCUAAACGCUCCUUCUUUUUAACAGCAAAUAUUCCAACAGGAAAACUGGUAAACUGUUCCAAUUGACCCAACUAGAAGUUUAAUUAAUUUACAAAACUAAAAACACUUUGGCAGUUUCAAAGAAUACCACCAAGAAAGUGAAUAACCAUUAUGGAAUAAGAGAAGAUGUUUGCAAAUUAUAUAUUUGAUGAGGAACUUACAUCCAGAAUAUGUAAAGAACAUUUACAAUUUAACAACAUCAAAAAUAACCAACCCAAUUAAA